AAACAGUCAACCAGGCUCAUCAGAUCUCGAUCUGCUUCAUCUCUCAAAGGACGCCCCAGCCCCGAGAGGAGCCGCCGCCGCCGGGGAACGAGAGGAGCCGCCGCCUCCAGGUCACCGCUGCCCUCGCCCUCGCAUCCAUACCUUCGCCGUCGCCCUCGCGCUCGCGGAUCCCUGAAAUGCCGCCGAUCCGAGACAAGUCGUCGCCGCGAGGAACGAGACGAGCCGCCGGCGCCGAGGAACGAGACGAGCUAGGGUUCCAUACGCCGCCGCCGGUAUCUCGCCCCCUCACCAUUCCCAACCACGAACGCCGACGCCGGCUGUAGCCGUCACGCCGCCAGCCAUCCAUGCCUCGUAGCCGUCGCAGCCAGUGCUUCCCCACUGAACGAGCGCCAAGGAGAAACACCGCUGUCUUUCUACAUGGUGGCCGCUCCCCUCGAUCCCCUCCAUCGCCUCCGCCGCCGCCGAGGUACGAGAUCGCCUCCAUCUUGUUCCUUCCCUGGCCACGCCCCUCCCAAUUUCUUCCCCUCAUCCAGCUAGGGUUCUCACCCGCCGCCGCUUCCCUGCUGCUACCCGCCACCGGAUGCCCUCCACGGACACCACCACCAUGAUGGCGGAAUGAAGAGCAAGAGGGGUCGUCGAGGAUGGGUGCCGUCGUGAGGAUGCUGGUGCCCGUGUGCGGUGAUGGCAUUGUGGCGGAAGAAGGUCUUCUUCCUGGGGAGCCGCUACCAGCCUCCGUCUCCACCCGCGGCCACGCUAAAAAGACAGAUCUCAAUACUUGCUUGCUAAUGUGCAUGUGUGGAUGUUGCUGGUUGCUGCUGCUGUGCACGUCUGCUUGGUGUGCCCCUGCUGUUUUGUGUUCUCACCACCACAUCCACGACAAAUAAAAUUUUAGUUUUCUUAGAAUGGUUCAGGUUCGAUAUGUCAGGUCUGAAGUACGCUCCUGAGUUAAAGAAAGACCUCGAGAGACUCUGUAGUGUGUAUGCAGGAACUAAAGACAUGUAUUAGAGAAUGAAGCAUCAAUCCUCUUCUUGCUUAUUGUUUGUCAAAUGCUAUAUUAAAGCACUGUAUCAAUUCCAUUGUUAUUUACACGAAGGGACGGAUUAGGACCUGUGGGAUCAUGGCUCUUUCAGCUUGAACAGUAUUUGUGAUGUAUCCUUCACUUACCGUGCCACGGGGUUGUCGCGGAUAUUGGUGGAGGACUUGGUGGACUAGCGCAAAAUGGAAAUCUAUAAAGAAGUGAAACUAAUCAGCUAUGGUUCUUCUGGAGUAUUUGUGCAACCAGCAGGCCGCCCAUGAGAAAUAUGAUGUUCUUUAUGCAUUUAAAAAACUACUAAAGGGAAAGUUGUGAAUGUUGUAUUGCAGAGCGUAUGCGUCAGAGGCCAGUCGGCAGAGGUGCAUGCAGGUUUGUGCUUGAGGGUGCACGCGAGCCGGCGGCUACAGGCAGAGGGUGCAGCCUGUGUGUGCGUGUUGUGGCCGCCUGAUUUGAUUGUAAAUCGUGUAGAGCAAAGGCGGCUUCUGUGGCGCCGGAGCAACAAUUUCAGUGAGCACAUGGACUUGAUGCAGGGAGGGUCGUCGAAGAGAAGGACGGCGGCCCGGCCUACACAUGAUGGAACACACAUUGCCGACGAUGCGGUACCAGGCCUGGAGAAGAGAUCCCGAGGUAUGCAUGAAGCCUUCUUAGUUAGUUUUUUAGUUGAGCGACUGCAUAACUGAAGAAUUUUGUGUGUGUAGUCUUUCAAAGUUGAUUCAGACAUAGCCUUACAAUUCAAGAGCAACAGUGUCUGAACUUUUCAAAAUUAUAUCAAUUAUUGUACUGUUUUUGGAUUGUUGACGAGAGAUGUAGAUUUGUGAUACUGAUUGCAAUGAAAUUUGGUUCAGUUAUUCAGUGUUUAGACAUACAAGAUACUAUACUAUAGCUUAGGAUUAAAAAAAUUGGUCGCUUUGUUUCAUUCUAGAAUGCCCGCUGCAGUACUGCUUUGCCACUAUCUGCAUGAUAUCCCUGGCAAUAUUUCUGGAAAGCAUUACAAACUAUAUAAGUUUUGCCGUCACUGCUUGCCUUGCCUGUGCAGUUUCCAUUCUUCUGCAACGACAGGGAGUAUGUUAUCGGUCGCAGGGUCUAGGCAUCUAGAAAGACGUACUACUGCGCUAAUAAGGUAUCUGAUGAAAUAGUACAACUUUAUAUGUCAGGGUUCCUUUACGACAGGGAGUAUGUUAUCGGUCACGUGAUUGCUUUUACAGCCAUUUUCAGGGUUCCUUUACUACUGUACAUGAGAUGGAAAUACUGCUUUUGUUCCAUGUUUCCAUUUGCAAAUUUUCAUCACGUGGUUGCUUUUACAGCCAUCGCCGCUUUGUCCAUAUUUGGUUAUGAUGCACUGCAUUCUAUAUCCAUCAGUGCCGUCACUGCUUGCCUUGCCUGUGCAGUUUCCAUUCUUCUGCAACGACAGGGAGUAUGUUAUCGGUCGCAGGGUCUAGGCAUCUAGAAAGACGUACUACUGCGCUAAUAAGGUGUUUGAUGAAAUGACCUUCGUCCGGAAAUACUUGUCAUCAAAAUGAAUAAAAGGAGAUCACAAUGUUGGACACGACCACCUAAGAAUCAAAUAUUUUUAGUUGGAAUACUAUUUUAAUGAUCAAUCACAAUGUUGGACGCGACCACCUACUUAUUCCCGAGACUUUAAGUCUUUGGUGGCUUAAGCACAAUAUGCUCCGCAUAUGUUCUACAUCUGCGGCAUGUAAUGACCCUACUGGCAUUUCAAGAGGUCUGUAAAUACAACACUCUUCCAAAGUAUUUCCAAGUAAGUGUUCACCUCGUGAGAUUUAUUAAAUGUUUUAGAUAUCUCGCUUGUGAAUGCUCAUCGGUAGCUAAUAUCCCGAGUAUUUUGAUAACGGGUUUAGAUCUGGACAGUUAUUGAGCCUGCAUUGAUGAAAUAGUUGACAAAGAAGGAACUGAAAUGAGGUUAUUGAGGCUGCAUUUAAGAAUUUUGGUUGAUGAGCUGAUAUCUGACCAAAAACUCAAGAACUAGAAGCAAGCCUGACAUCCUUUUUCUGUAAUCGGUAUAUUCUCGGUAGCAAGCCUGUCAUCCUUUUGUAUCCACAUGAGGCUUAGGGGCCGUUUGGAUUAGCACCAACGUCGAUACUAUGAGCAGUGAGCAAGUCAUGUAUAAAGCAAAAACAAAAUAUUGGUCUGCUAUCAAAUGGUACAUUUAUUUGAACUCUAAGGGCAGGUUCAGGGUCUCAUGAAGAGGGCAUGUGUUUGUAUUAGGUGAGAUCUGAACUGAUUCUGACUAAUGUGAAAUUAAUUUUGUUGUUGAUGGAUCUGCAAUUAUUUAUGUGCACAGAAGUGUCGUAGUUGAGAAGCCUGAGAAGAAUAUAUCACUUAGGUACAGAUUCGAGCUAGGGUUUUUCAUUUUCUCCUUCCAAUCCAUUUAUUAUGCGAUAAUUUGCCCAUAAAAGACAUACAUGAUGGUCGUCGUUGGACAGACUAUAUUUGUUUACUUCUACCCAUAAAUUUAAAAUCCUGAACAUGUAUAUUACACAUCUCUUGAGGAUACAUUAAUAUUAAACUAUGUGUGCGUUCCACUGCAUUCAUCUAUUUAAGGCAUGAUAUUUGUAAGCUUGGUUCAGGCUGCCGCGCAUCUAUCUAUAUAAUGCACAAUAUUUCUAUGCUUGGUUCAGGUUGUUUCCGACAACCAUUGGCAAUCUGUCCCUAUGUCAUUCCUCUUAUAUAUACAUAAGAACUGUCUACACAGAUCAGAGUGUGUGUAUGAGGGUCGUUUCCAUUUGUGUUCUGUUCCCUUUAUUGUUUUAUCAAUGUAAAACCCUUGAAAAAUUAUCCAUUCCUUUUUCACAGAUCAGAAGGUUUUGCAGUUGACAAGCUUACAGGUUUGAGCACCCCAAACAACGGGGUGGGCCCUUUGACCUGUGGGUUCUGCUGGUACCAAGAGAAGGAGGUUCCUUUUAACCUGCAGGAGCUCUGCCAAUGGCAGCGUGCUUUCCUUGACAAUGAUGUGGUACUGCACGUACGCAACAUGCAGCAAGUGAAAUCGGCGCAAGAGGGCAUCUUGCAAGCAGCACCAAAUCCUAUAUUAUGGGACCGAGUGAGUAUCUCAAAGAAGAAAUAAUUUUUUUGAUGUAGGAAUAUCUGUAGGCUGAUUAUGCUUUGAUGUAUAGAUCGCAGUAGCACUUAGAUAAAAUAUAAGUUCUUAGCCAGUUCAAUAGUACUUUUGUCGAACAAAGCUCAAUUGACAUUACGUGAAAACCUUGAGAAUACCUGAGGGGACAAGGCAAGUGUUGUUUGUAAUGACUUGUGUUAUGAUAUUGCAAAAUAGAUUAGACGGAAAAGUACAUAGCA